rnacentral:rRNA from 1 species
UACGUAGGGGGCAAGCGUUGUCCGGAUUUAUUGGGCGUAAAGAGCGUGUAGGCGGUUCGGUAGGUCCGUUGUGAAAACUCGAGGCUCAACCUCGAGACGCCGAUGGAAACCCCCGAACUAGAGUCCGGAAGAGGAGAGUGGAAUUCCCGGUGUAGCGGUGAAAUGCGCAGAUAUCGGGAAGAACACCCGUGGCGAAGGCGGCUCUCUGGACAUUUCCUGACGCUGAGGCACGAAAGCCAGGGGAGCAAACGGG